rnacentral:rRNA from 1 species
AAUAGAUACCCUGGUAGUCCCAGCCGUAAACGAUGCUCGCUAGGUGUCAGGCAUGGCGCGACCGUGUCUGGUGCCGCAGGGAAGCCGUGAAGCGAGCCACCUGGGAAGUACGGCCGCAAGGCUGAAACUUAAAGGAAUUGGCGGGGGGAGCACAACAACGGGUGGAGCCUGCGGUUUAAUUGGACUCAACGCCGGACAACUCACCGGGGGGCGACAGCAAUAUGUAGGCCAAGCUGAAGACUUUGCCUGAAUCGCUGAGAGGAGGUGCAUGGCCGUCGCCAGUUCGUACUGUGAAGCAUCCUGUUAAGUCAGGCAACGAGCGAGACCCGUGCCCACUGUUACCAGCAUGUCCUCCGGGACGAUGGGUACUCUGUGGGGACCGCCGAUGUUAAAUCGGAGGAAGGUGCGGGCCACGGUAGGUCAGUAUGCCCCGAAUCUCCCGGGCUACACGCGGGCUACAAUGGAUGGGACAAUGGGUCCCUCCCCGUGAAACGGGCGUGGUAAUCUCACAAACCCAUUCGUAGUUCGGAUCGAGGGCUGUAAC